UAUAUUCACAUUCAGUGAGAUGAUUUCAGUUGUAAAAACUUGCAAGUAAUUUAUAAAGAAUAGCUUCUAUAAUACUAAUUGUAUUAACUGAACCAUCCUCUUAGAGUAUUAGUGUAAAUUGGAAAGUAUUUGAGAGUUGCAUAGGAUUCAGGAAUAAAGGUUUUGGAUAUUUAUUAAUGGAUUUUAAAAUGAUGAUUAAGCUUUGAACUAAUUUUAAAUUUCCGUUUCCAGAAUUUCGUCCUGGUGAGCCAUGGAAAGGUUAUCCAAACAUUGACCCUGAAACUGACCCUUACGUCACUCCUGGCAGUGUCAUAAACAAUCUUUCAAUUAAUACUGUGCGGGAAGUUGACCACCUCAGGGACAGGAACAGUGGGUCAUCCUCAUCCUUGAACACCACGCUGCCUUCAACUAGUGCCUGGUCAUCCAUUCGUGCCUCCAACUACAACGUUCCCCUCAGCAGUACAGCACAAAGCACUUCAGCCAGAAAUAGUGAUUCCAAAUUGACAUGGUCUCCUGGUUCAGUUACAAACACCUCUCUGGCUCAUGAGCUGU
rnacentral:lncRNA from 1 species